CAGCCCUAAAGUAGCUUAGCCCUCUGGGCUAACAAAGGGCUAAUUCACCGCUGUACGGCACAGAUUUAAAUAUGGCCUCCCCCAACAGGAUGUCAAGAGGGCGCAGCCAUCAUACCUCCCGUUAAAGUUCAGAAACCCAGAAUCCUGUUCGUUGGACGGUUGCCUGGUGGCGGCCGACAACCUCAAAGUCGUGACUGAGUCUGCGCACUGGCCAGUUGCGAUGGGAAGAGAUUAUACUGCGGUGAGGCACUGUGGUCCGGCUAUCAAUUUCGGGUUAUGGACGCGGAUCCAGGAGAAAUGGGAAAGGCCCUUUCUGGCAACGGUAAUGAUGUAUCCAUUUGUGACAACAUCCCAAGGGUGAGUCUGGUUUCUGAAAAUCUAGUCUGACCCCAUGGAAGCUAGGAUGGAGGUGACUUUGCCUGUGGUUAGAAAACAAAGAAUUUACUGAGUUACCUGAGUACCCUGUAUACCUGUGGGUCCCACCACCUCACUCAUAGCAGGGCAUCACAGGACCUUGGUCAAGUCUCCAGAAGGCCCUGCCUGGGGCUGCAGCUGAAGGACUCAAAUCUUUUCCCAAGAACAGCAGAAAAUGAUUGAGUACCAGCAGAGAACUGUGUCCUUCAAAGACGUGGUAGUGGGCUUCACCCAAGAGGAGUGGCACAGGCUGAAUCCUGCUCAGAGGGCACUGUACCGGGAUGUGAUGCUGGAGACCUACAGCAACCUUGUCUCCGUGGGUUAUGAAGGCACGAAACCUUAUGUGAUCCUCAAGCUGGAGCAGGAAGAAGCGCCAUGGCUUUGUGAGGCAGCAUGCUCAGGCUGCCCCUGUCAGGAAAACAUUUGUCAAGUUAAUGUCCAGAGGAAAAGACAAGACAUGAUUUUGAAACAAGGUGCAUUCAUCAGCAAGAAAACAUUGCCCAAGGAAAGAAGCCAUGAAAACAAUAAGUUUGGGAAAAUACCACCUCUGAGCACUAAUCUUUCUCCUUCAAUUCAAAAUCCUAGUAACUGGGAUCCCUGUGGAAAGAGUGCAAACCAUAAUUUAGAUUUGAUUGGUUUUAAAAGAAACUAUUCAAAAAAGCAAGAUGAGUGCUGUGGUUGUGGGAAAUUGUUACAACAUACAAACCAUGAUAGAAGACCUAAUGGAGAAAAACUCUGGGAAUGCAGUCAUUGUGAGAAAGCUUUCAGCCACAACCCAGCACUUAUGUAUAAACCAGCAGUAACCAAUUCUCUUGCGUACAAACGUAAGAGGGUUCCACCUGCAGAGAAACCCCAUGUCUGUAGCGAAUGUGGGAAAGCCUUCUGCUACAAGUCUGAGUUCAUUAGGCAUCAGAGAAGUCACACUGGGGAGAAACCAUAUGGAUGCACUGACUGUGGGAAAGCCUUUUCACAUAAGUCAACCCUCAUCAAACAUCAGCGAAUUCACACUGGGGUAAGACCCUUUGAAUGUUUUUUCUGUGGGAAAGCCUUCACUCAGAAGUCACACCGCAGAGAACAUCAAAGAACACAUACUGGAGAGAGACCCUUUGUGUGCAGUGAAUGUGGGAAGUCAUUUGGCGAGAAGUCAUACCUCAAUGUACAUCGAAAAAUACACACAGGAGAAAGACCAUACCGUUGCAGAGAAUGUGGGAAAUCCUUCAGCCAAAAAUCAUGCCUCAAUAAACACUGGAGAACUCAUACAGGAGAAAAACCCUAUGGAUGCAGUGAAUGUGGCAAAGCUUUUUAUCAGAAGCCAAACCUAAGUAGACAUCAGAAAAUUCAUGCCAGAAAGAAUGCCUAUAGGAAUUAAAACCUGAUAAUUUGUAAUCAGUGUGGACAAGACUUCAGUCAUAAAUUUGACCUCAUCAGACAUGAAAGAAUUCAUGCUGGAGAGAAACCCUAUGAAUGUAAGGAAUGUGGAAAAGCCUUCAGCAGGAAGGAAAAUCUCAUUACACAUCAAAAAAUUCAUACUGGGGAAAAACCGUAUAAGUGUAAUGAAUGUGGAAAAGCUUUCAUUCAGAUGUCAAACCUUAUUAGACACCAGAGAAUUCAUACGGGGGAGAAACCUUAUGCAUGUAAGGACUGUUGGAAAGCCUUCAGUCAAAAAUCAAAUCUUAUUGAACAUGAGAGAAUUCAUACUGGAGAAAAACCCUAUGAAUGUAAAGAAUGUGGAAAAUCCUUCAGCCAGAAGCAAAACCUUAUUGAGCAUGAGAAAAUUCAUACUGGGGAGAAACCUUAUGCAUGUAAUGAAUGUGGUAGAGCCUUUUCUCGAAUGUCAUCUGUUACUCUACACAUGAGAAGUCACACAGGGGAGAAACCCUAUAAAUGUAAUAAAUGUGGAAAAGCCUUCUCUCAAUGCUCAGUAUUUAUUAUACAUAUGAGAAGUCAUACAGGUGAGAAACCCUAUGUGUGUAGUGAAUGUGGGAAAGCAUUCUCUCAAAGUUCAUCCCUUACUGUACAUAUGAGAAAUCAUACAGCUGAGAAACCCUAUGAAUGUAACGAGUGUGGAAAAGCCUUCAGCAGGAAAGAAAAUCUAAUUACACAUCAGAAAAUUCAUACUGGAGAGAAACCAUAUGAAUGUAAUGAAUGUGGGAAAGCUUUUAUUCAGAUGUCAAACCUCAUUAGACACCAGAGAAUUCAUACUGGUGAGAAACCUUAUGCAUGUACAGUAUGUGGGAAAGCCUUUAGUCAGAAAUCAAAUCUCACCGAACAUGAGAAAAUUCAUACUGGAGAAAAACCCUAUAAUUGUAAUCAAUGUGGAAAAGCUUUCAGUCAGAGACAAAAUCUCCUUGAGCAUGAAAAAAUUCAUACUGGAGAGAAACCGUUUAAAUGUAAUGAAUGUGGUAAAGCCUUUUCUCGAAUCUCAUCUCUUACUCUUCAUGUGAGAAGUCAUACAGGGGAGAAACCGUACGAAUGUAAUAAAUGUGGAAAAGCCUUCUCUCAGUGCUCAUUACUUAUUAUACAUAUGAGAAGUCAUACCGGUGAGAAACCUUUUGAAUGUAAUGAAUGUGGGAAAGCAUUCUCUCAAAGAGCAUCCCUUUCUAUACAUAAGAGAGGGCAUACAGGUGAGAAACACUCUAAAUGUGGAGAAUGUGGGAAAGCCUUUAAUAGUAAGUCAGACUUGAUUAAGCAUCAGAGAAUUCAUACUAGUGAGAAACCUUAUAAAUGUAAGGAAUGUGGGAAAGCCUUUCAUUCUAACUCACAACUUAGUAAACAUCAAAAGAUCCACAUAGGUGAGAAACCCUAUAAAUGUAAGGAGUGUGGGAAGGCCUUUCCAUCUACCUCACAACUUAGUUUACAUCAGAGAAUUCAUACUGAUGAGAAAUACUAUGAAUGUAAGGAAUGUGGGAAAGCCUUUACCCGUCCCUCACAUCUUCUUCGACAUCAGAGAAUCCAUACUGGUGAGAAACCCCAUAAAUGUAAGGAAUGUGGGAAAGCUUUCCGUUACGACACACAACUUAGUCUUCAUCAGAUAAUUCAUACUGGUGAGAGACGCUAUGAAUGUAAGGAGUGUGGAAAGGUAUAUAGUUGUGCCUCACAACUGAGUCUACAUCAAAGAAUUCAUACUGGUGAGAAACCUCAUAAAUGUAAGGAAUGUGGGAAAGCUUUUAUCUCUGAUUCCCAUCUUAUUCGACAUCAGAGCGUUCAUACUGGUGAGAAACCAUAUAAAUGUAAAGAAUGUGGGAAGGCCUUUCGUCGUGGCUCGGAACUUACUCGACAUCAGAGAGCUCACACUGGUGAGAAACCCUAUAAAUGUAAGGAAUGUAAAAUGGCCUUUACCUGUAGCACAGAACUUAUUCGACAUCAAAAAGUUCACACUGGUGAGAGACCUCAUAAAUGUAAGGAAUGUGGGAAGGCCUUUAUUCGAAAGUCAGAACUUACUCAUCACGAGAGAAGUCAUAGUGGUGAAAAGCCCUAUAAGUGUAAGGAAUGUGAAAAAGCCUUUGGUCGUGGCUCAGAACUUAAUCGACACCUGAAAAUUCAUACUGGUGAGAAACCUUACAAAUGCAAGCAAUGUGGGAAGGCCUUUAUUCGUGGUUCACACCUUAGUAAACAUCAAAGAAUUCACACAGGAAAGAGGAAAGAGAAACCCUUUCAGUGUCCUUAUUGUGGAAAUAGCUUUAGAAGGAAGUCAUAUCUCAUUGAACAUCAACGAAUUCACACAGGUGAGAAACCUUAUGUCUGCAAUCAAUGUGGAAAAGCUUUCCGUCAAAAGACAGCCCUCACUCUUCAUGAGAAAACACAUAUAGAGGGGAAGCCCUACAUCUGUAUGGAUUGUGGGAAGUCCUUCCGCCAGAAGGCAACUCUCACUAGACAUCACAAAACACAUACAGGGGAGAAAGCCUAUGAAUGUACUCAGUGUGGAAGUGCUUUUAGAAAGAAGUCAUACCUCAUUGAUCAUCAGAGAACUCACACAGGAGAGAAACCAUAUCAAUGUAAUGAAUGUGGGAAGGCAUUUAUCCAGAAGACAACCCUCACUGUACAUCAGAGAACUCACACAGGAGAGAAACCCUAUAUAUGCAGUGAAUGUGGAAAGUCCUUCUGCCAAAAGACAACCCUCACUCUCCAUCAAAGAAUUCAUACUGGGGAAAAACCCUAUAUUUGUAAUGAAUGUGGGAAGUCCUUCCGCCAGAAGGCAAUCCUCACUGUUCAUCAGAGAAUACAUACAGGAGAGAAAUCCAAUGGAUGUCCUCAGUGUGGGAAAGCCUUUAGUAGGAAAUCAAACCUCAUUCGCCACCAGAAGACUCACACAGGAGAGAAACCAUAUGAAUGUAAAGAAUGUGGGAAGUUCUUCAGUUGUAAGUCAAACCUCAUUGUACAUCAAAAAACUCACAAGGGUGUAAGACAAUAUACAUGCACUGAAUGUGGGAAGUCCUUCUGCAGGAAGUCAGUAUUGAUUCUGCAUCAGGGAAUUCACACAGAGGAAAAACCCUAUCAGUGUCAUCAGUGUGGAAAUUCAUUUAGAAGGAAGUCUUAUCUCAUUGACCAUCAGAGAACUCACACAGGAGAAAAACCCUUUGUUUGUAACGAAUGUGGAAAGUCUUUUCGCCUAAAGACAGCCCUCACUGAUCAUCAGAGAACACAUACAGGGGAGAAAUCAUAUGAAUGUCCACAGUGUAGGAAUGCCUUCAGAUUGAAGUCACACCUCAUUCGUCAUCAGAGAACUCAUACAGGAGAGAAACCUUAUGAGUGUAAUGACUGUGGUAAGUCCUUCCGCCAGAAGACAACACUCUCUUUACAUCAGAGAAUUCAUACAGGAGAGAAACCCUAUAUUUGUAAAGAAUGUGGGAAGUCCUUUCAUCAGAAGGCAAACCUUACUGUACAUCAGAGGACUCACACAGGGGAAAAGCCCUAUAUAUGUAAUGAAUGUGGAAAAUCUUUCUCCCAGAAGACAACCCUCGCUCUUCAUGAGAAGACUCAUAAUGAGGAGAAACCAUAUAUUUGUAAUGAAUGUGGGAAGUCCUUUCGCCAGAAGACAACCCUUGUGGCACAUCAGAGAACACAUACAGGGGAAAAAUCCUAUGAAUGUCCUCACUGUGGGAAGGCCUUUAGAAUGAAGUCAUACCUCAUUGAUCAUCACAGAACUCACACUGGAGAGAAACCAUAUGAAUGUAAUGAAUGUGGGAAGUCCUUCAGUCAGAAGACAAAUCUGAAUCUACAUCAGAGAAUUCAUACAGGGGAGAAACCCUAUAUUUGUAAUGAAUGUGGGAAGUCCUUUCGCCAGAAAGCAACUCUGACUGUACAUCAGAAAAUACAUACAGGACAGAAAUCUUAUGAAUGCCCUCAGUGUGGGAAAGCCUUUAGCAGGAAGUCAUAUCUCAUUCACCAUCAAAGAACUCAUACAGGAGAGAAACCAUAUAAAUGUAAUGAAUGUGGGAAGUGCUUCCGCCAGAAGACAAAUCUCAUUGUACAUCAGAGAACUCACACAGGGGAAAAGCCCUAUAUUUGUAAUGAGUGUGGUAAGUCCUUCAGUUAUAAGAGAAACCUCAUUGGUCAUCACACUGCUCACUCUGGAGAGAAAUCCUACAAAUGUAAUGAAUGUGGAAAAUCCUUCAAUCAGAAAGAAAAUCUCAUUACCCAUCAGAAAAUUCAUACUAGUGAGAAGCCAUUUGGAUGUAAUUACUGUGAGAAAGCUUUUAUUCAGAAGUCAAGCCUCAUUAAACACCAGAAAAUGCAUACUGGAGAAAAUCCUAUACAUGUAAAGAAUGUGGGAAAACCUACAGCAGCAAAUCAAAUCUCACAAAGCAUGAGAAAAUUCAUAUUGGAGAAAAACCUUUUAAAUGUAAUGAAUGUGGAACAGCCUUUAGCCAGAAGCAAUAUCUCAUUAAAUGUCACAACAUUCAUACAGGAGACAAACCCUUUGAGUGUAAUAAAUGUGGAAAAUCCUUCUAUCAAAUUACAUCACUUUUUGUACAAGUGAGAAUUCACACAGAUGAUAAGCCUUAUGAAUGUGAGGUAUGUGGGAAAGCCGUCUCACAAAUUCCAUCUCUUACUGCGCAAACGAGAAGUCAUACAGGUGAGAAACCCUAUGGAUGUAAUCAGUGUUGGAAAGCUUUCUCUCAAUUCUCAACUCCUGCUUUACAUGUGAGAACACAUACAGGUGAGAAGCCUUAUCAGUGCAGCAAUUGUGGGAAAGCAUUCAGCCAGAACCGUGGCUCACACCUUAUUCAGCAUCAGAAAACACAUACUGGUGAAAAACCCUUUGAAUGUAAGGAAUGUGGGAAGGCCUUUAGUCGUGCCUCACACCUUGUUCAACAUCAGAGAAUUCAUACAGGUGAGAAACCUUACAACUGUAAGGACUGUGGGAAGGCCUUUGGCCGUACUUCGGAACUCAUUCUCCAUCAAAGACUUCAUACUGGUGUCAAACCCUAUGAAUGUAAAGAAUGUGGAAAGACCUUCAGACAGCAUUCACAACUUAUUCUGCAUCAAAGAACUCACACAGGUGAGAAACCCUAUGUAUGUAAAGACUGUGGGAAGGCUUUUAUUCGUGGCUCACAACUUACUGUUCAUCGGAGAAUUCAUACAGGUGCUAGACCCUAUCAGUGUAAAGAAUGCGGGAAAGCGUUUAGACAGCAUUCACAGCUUACUGUCCACCAGAGGAUUCACACUGGUGAGAAACCCUAUGAGUGUAAGGAAUGUGGGAAGGGCUUUAUUCAUAGCUCAGAAGUUACUCGACAUCAAAGAAUUCAUUCUGGGGAGAAACCCUACGAAUGUAAGGAAUGUGGGAAGGCCUUUAGACAACACGCACAGCUUACACGACAUCAGAGAGUUCAUACUGGUGACAGACCUUAUGAAUGUAAGGACUGUGGGAAGGCAUUUAGUCGUAGUUCAUACCUUAUUCAGCAUCAGAGAAUUCAUACAGGUGACAAACCCUAUGAAUGUAAGGAAUGUGGGAAAGCCUUUAUUCGUGUUUCACAACUGACUCAUCAUCAGCGAAUUCAUACUUGUGAGAAACCCUACCAAUGUAGGGAGUGUGGAAUGGCCUUUAUUCGUAGUUCACAACUUACGGAACAUCAGAGAAUUCAUCCUGGGAUCAAACCUUAUGAAUGUAGAGAAUGUGGACAGGCCUUUAUUCUUGGCUCACAGCUCAUCGAACACUACAGAAUCCACACUGGUUAGAAAGCCUGGAAUGUUAGGGGUGUAGGAGCCUUUACGUGGAGUUCACACCUGACUCAGUAUUAGAUGAUGUGUAUGUAAUGUAAUUAAUGUGAAAACCUUCACUUGUCACUUCCACUACGGAACAUGGGAUAACUCAUAGCAGAAGAAAAUUCAAUAAACGUGGGAAUUCUUUUUGCCUCACA